UGCGGAAGGAUCAUAGUAAUCGUCUUUGACGUUCUAUUUCCAUCGUCCUCGGGACGUUAAGGUGCUCUGGUCGAGGAUAAACGACCCCUCUGACCGAGGUUAAACGGUCGCUUGCCUGUGUUACCUCUUUUCGAGGCACACGUUAAAGAUCGUUCCGCGUUGUGAGUCUAACACCAGUUGUAAACUUUCUACAACCGGCAGCGCUGGAUCCCUUGGCACGUCAUUCGAUGAAGACCGUUGCAAAUUGCGAUAAAGUGAUGUGAUGCGCAAGUCCACCACUUAUACGUGAAUCAUCGAGUUGUUGAACGCAUUGCACCGCGCCCUAAUCCGGCUGCGGUAUGCCCCUUUGAGCGUCAUUGUAUUCCUUCGGGAGUCUUUCCUUGCUGAAAGACCCGAGCUCGGAGUCCUCGGUCCUUUGGAUCGUGUUCUCUCAGAUGCGUCGCGCCGAUCGCCUGAUGGGUACUGUAAUGCCUGAGCGUGGAGUCCCUUUGAGCUUGAGACGCGCUUGACCGGCCGUUGGGCUCGCGUCACCAAGUCCGCGUCCUUCUGGACGUCGGUACUACAACGCAUGACCUCAUUGGGGUAGGACAACCCGCUAGACUUAAGCAUAUUAAUC
rnacentral:rRNA from 1 species